rnacentral:ribozyme from 1 species
CGGCAUCAUGACUAAGCCUUUACGUGGCGAUGCUAUAAGUAAUCCAUAAGGAUGAAACUAAUUGGUC